UGGGGAAUUUUGGACAAUGGGGGAAACCCUGAUCCAGCCAUGCCGCGUGUAUGAAGAAGGCCUUAGGGUUGUAAAGUACUUUUGUUAGGGAAGAAAAGCUAGUUUUUAAUAAAAAUUAGUGAUGACGGUACCUAAAGAAUAAGCACCGGCUAACUACGUGCCAGCAGCCGCGGUAAUACGUAGGGUGCAAGCGUUAAUCGGAAUUAUUGGGCGUAAAGCGAGUGCAGACGGUUACUUAAGCCAGAUGUGAAAUCCCCAAGCUUAACUUGGGACGUGCAUUUGGAACUGGGUGACUAGAGUGUGUCAGAGGGAGGUAGAAUUCCACAUGUAGCGGUGGAAUGCGUAGAGAUGUGGAGGAAUACCGAUGGCGAAGGCAGCCUCCUGGGAUAACACUGACGUUGAGGCUCGAAAGCGUGGGGAGCAAACAGGAUUAGAUACCCUGGUAGUCCACGCCCUAAACGAUGACAAUUAGCUGUUGGGCUUUGAAAGGCUUAGUAGCGAAGCUAACGCGAGAAAUUGUCCGCCUGGGGAGUACGGUCGCAAGAUUAAAACUCAAAGGAAUUGACGGGGACCCGCACAAGCGGUGGAUGAUGUGGAUUAAUUCGAUGC
rnacentral:rRNA from 1 species